AUGAACUUUGGGUUUCGUGUGAAAGAGUAGGAAAAUCGAUAUUGUAAGGCCUCAUUUGUUAAAGCGUGGUGUGAACUGUGUCAAGAUUCAGAAACCUGCAUGAGAGAUAAAGUCCUUGAAGAUGAAGGUGAAUCAGAGAGAUCAGAGAUGUUAAGAGAGACACCGGGGUUUCUGAUAAGCCCCCGGAAGGGAUAAGGCGAGGCACGUACGACACGAGAGGUACGAAAGGCACGGAAGGCACGGUAGAAAAGUGACACGACACACCCCGGGAUUGCUCUGUCCUGCGCACCUCAGCACUGUGAGCCAAAGUCUUGGACUUCGACUUAGCUCUCAUAUGCGUGGGGACGAGAAGCCACGUGGGGCACAAGGGAAGGCCGCCUCACCGUCUGGCACGUUUCUGGCAGGCUGUUGUCUCUUGGACAGGUACAAUAAAGAAAACCAAAUAUCAGUGCAAGAUCUUAGCAGCACAUCUGUGAAAACCCAACACUCACGGUCUCCUGACAAUGGCUGGGUCCUUCGCCUGCAUGCUUCAGCCCCGCUGGGAUGCUGAGGCUUGCGGAGCGAAACUCUUCAAGCGGUAUUGCUGUGGAUCCGA